rnacentral:rRNA from 1 species
UGGGGAAUAUUGGACAAUGGGCGCAAGCCUGAUCCAGCAAUGCCGCGUGAGUGAUGAAGGCCUUCGGGUCGUAAAGCUCUUUUACCCGGGAUGAUAAUGACAGUACCGGGAGAAUAAGCUCCGGCUAACUCCGUGCCAGCAGCCGCGGUAAUACGGAGGGAGCUAGCGUUGUUCGGAAUUACUGGGCGUAAAGCGCACGUAGGCGGUUACUCAAGUCAGAGGUGAAAGCCCGGGGCUCAACCCCGGAACUGCCUUUGAAACUAGGUGACUGGAAUCUUGGAGAGGCGAGUGGAAUUCCGAGUGUAGAGGUGAAAUUCGUAGAUAUUCGGAAGAACACCAGUGGCGAAGGCGACUCGCUGGACAAGUAUUGACGCUGAGGUGCGAAAGCGUGGGGAGCAAACA